rnacentral:rRNA from 1 species
CAUGUCUUUUUGAUUAUAAUUUAAGGUUUGACCUGCUCAAUGAUUAUUUAAAUUGCCGCAGUAUCCUAACUGUGCAAAGGUAGCAUAAUAAUUAGUUUUUUUAUUGAAAGCUGGAAUGAAUGGUUGGACAAGAAAAUUUCUGUCUCUUAUUUAUUUUUUUUUGAAUUUUAUUUUUGAGUUAAAAAGCUCAAAUUUUUUUAAAAGACGAGAAGACCCUAUAGAGUUUUAUUUUUAAAAAUAAUUAUUAUUUUUAUUUUGUAUUUAAAAUUUAAUUUUUUUAAUAAUUUGGUUGGGGUGACUAAAAGAUUUAAUAAACUCUUUUAAUUUAAUAUCAUUGAUUUAUGAAUUGUUAAUCUAUUUUUUUAAUUAUAAAUUAAAUUACCUUAGGGAUAACAGCGUAAUUUUUUUUUAGAGUUCUUAUUUAAAUAAAAGUUUGCGACCUCGAUGUUGGAUUAAAAUUUGAUUUUGGUGCAGAAGCUAAAAAUCUAAGUCUGUUCGACUUUUAAAAUUUUACAUGAUCUGAGU